ensembl:lincRNA
UUUUGAGUUUUGCCCAGCAUUUGGACUCUAAAGAAAUGCUCCAUAUGCAUUUGAAAAGUACAUGUAUUCGACAGUUGUGUGUGUGUGUGUGUGUGUGUGUGUGUGUGUGUGUAGGUCAACGUAUCUAUUUAUACAUUUAUUUAUAUCUAUUUAUAUUUAUAAAUUAGGUAAAUGUUAUUAGUAGUGUUGUUCGAGCCUCUUAUGUCUGUAUUAACAUUUUGUCUGCUUAUUUUAUCAAUCAGAGGAAUGUGUUAAAAUCUCCCACUUUGUUCAUGAAUUUUCCUGUUUCCUCUUUUAGGUGGGUCAGAUUUCGCUUUAUGUAUUUUGAGAAUUUGCUUUUACUUCUGCAGGCAGUUACGGGGAUUGGAUCAUCCUGACCCAAUGAGCUGACUUGAAGCUGGAUCUUUGUAAGAGCUGGUCUGUUCCUAUUCAUCCUCCCUGCUUAAUAUUCCAAAACAUAAGAUUGUUCAUACAUGAACAAUACUUCUUGCAUAUCUACUAUAUACUAGGUACUAUAAUAGGUGCUGAAUCAUCUGUGUUAUUUUAAGGGUUAUGAAGAGAAAACAACUGUCUCUGAGAAGGAAUCACCACCACUAAGAGACUAACCUAUGAAAAAGCAAGGGCUAUGGAUCAAGUCUUCUUUGAAGUGCCCUGUGCACUUCAUGGUUCUGGAGAGAAUUAGAAAACUUCCAGGAGUUUCCAAGAAUGCUGAUAUCCAGUUCACCACUUUACCCACUGGUGAGGAGAAGAAAGUCAAAGGAAACCAUAUGUCUAGACCUUGGUCUCCACUGGUGACCUCUGUCCACCUUGACCCUUUCUCUAUCAGGCUUGGCUGCAACCCUCCAGGGCAUCUUAUCACUGUUUUAUUGGAGUUGGAACGCGGCUGGAAUUGGAGUACAAAUUUCCUUCAGCAAGGAAAUGCUGGAGAAACAAGAGCAAGUUAACCUCCAAAUGGGUUCCAAGGCAACCGCUGUGUUGAAAUUUCACUUGGGUUCCCCUGGCUCUUUUUUACCUGCCUCUGCCAAAUUGUUGAUGCCCUUGCCUGUUGGAAAUGGAUGACUUUGAACAACGAGGGGCAAGGAGCCUCUCUUUUACUUCAGAACUACUACAGCAAGAAUUCAAACUCUUUGUUUUUGAGAAAAUAGCUCCUAAUGCUGUGUUGAUUUUAUCGUGUGCUUCAGAAAAAGACCCUUAAGGCUAAUUGAUAUGAACAUAUAGAGGCAGGCUGAGCUUACUAGAAUUUAUAUUACCUGAUGUGUUAAGCAUCAGGAAGCUAUUUAUGCUAGCCUAUAGCAGCAACCCGUUGUAUUUAGUGUGUUUGUGUGUACACACAUACCUGUGUAAAUCAAAAUGAAAGCUUGCUUUUGUGAUCUAGCACAAGUUUUGCCAUAUCAUAUAUACAUUUUUAACUUUUGGAAGCUAGAAGACAAUUGAUAGGCAUUUAACACGAAGAAAACAUGCAUUUAUAGUCAAUAUUAAUAGAAUAGAUGGUACUAAUCUAUAACAGUGAAAAAUAAAGAAGGUAGAGGAAGGAGGACAAAGACAGAGAGGAGACAGGGGGGAAAGGAGAAGACAGAAAAAAGAAAACAUCAAAACAAGGACUGCUCUGAGAGCCACAACUGAGUUUUAUGCUUCUUGCUGUCAUCUUUCUCUAACCUUAAAGGGCAGAAAGCAAUUGGGAGAACUAACCUGCACUUAGAUUUCAGCUUCCAUAGGAUGUUACAUUCUCAGGGUCUAUUAAAUCGAUUGGACUUUGACCUUAGCUUCCACGAAGUCCUUACCUUUUGACUGGGGCUGAGAGGUCUGAUUUAACCUCAUGGAAUUUGUAUUUUUUGGAGGAACUCCUGCCUCGUCCGUACAUGGUGAAACCCCCAACAGCAGCAUUUUUAAUUUCCAGAUUCUCAGCAGACACAAUGCACAGACUGUAGAAAACACCUGCUCAUCCGGACCGCUCAGCUCACAGGCUCCUUCCUCAGGGGAGCAUCUGAUGCUCCAGACAAGGCAGACCCUCUUCUUAUACUCUUGUGACCUCUUAGACUUUUCUUUUGUAGCACUUACUCCAGACUCUAAUCAUAUAUUUAUGUUGUGAUUGUUUAUGCAAUGGUUUUCUUCCUAACUAGGCUCUGAGUUCCAUGAGAGUUGCAAUGUCUUCAUCCCUUACCCUUGUUGAUAUACUGCACUGUGCCCAGUACCUAAGUAAUUGCUCA